GAGGUAAAGGAUGGGCAUGCGUCUGAUUAGCUAGUUGGUAGUGUAACGGACUACCAAGGCGAUGAUCAGUAGGGGAACUGAGAGGUUGAUCCCCCACACUGGCACUGAGAUACGGGCCAG
rnacentral:rRNA from 1 species